UACGUAGGGUGCAAGCGUUGUCCGGAAUUAUUGGGCGUAAAGAGCUCGUAGGUGGUUUGUCGCGUUGUUCGUGAAAACUCACAGCUCAACUGUGGGCGUGCGGGCGAUACGGGCAGACUUGAGUACUGCAGGGGAGACUGGAAUUCCUGGUGUAGCGGUGGAAUGCGCAGAUAUCAGGAGGAACACCGGUGGCGAAGGCGGGUCUCUGGGCAGUAACUGACGCUGAGGAGCGAAAGCGUGGGGAGCGAACAGG
rnacentral:rRNA from 1 species